GACGAACGCUGGCGGCGUGCUUAACACAUGCAAGUCGAACGGUGAAGCGCCUUCCUUUUUGGUGGGUGUGGAUGAGUGGCGAACGGGUGAGUAACACGUGAGUAACCUGCCCCCUUCUUCUGGAUAACCGCAUGAAAGUGUGGCUAAUACGGGAUAUUCUGGGUCUGUCGCAUGAUGGGUCUGGGAAAGAUAUUGUUUCGGUGGGGGAUGGUCUCGCGGCCUAUCAGCUUGUUGGUGGGGUGAUGGCCUACCAAGGCGGUGACGGGUAGCCGGCCUGAGAGGGUGGACGGUCACACUGGGACUGAGACACGGCCAAGACUCGUACGGGAGGCAGCAGUGGGGAAUAUUGCACAAUGGGAGCAAGCCUGAUGCAGCGACGCCGCGUGAGGGAUGGAGGCCUUCGGGUUGUGAACCUCUUUCGCCAGUGAAGCAGGCCUGCCUCGUUUGUGGGUGGGUUGACGGUAGCUGGAUAAGAAGCGCCGGCUAACUACGUG
rnacentral:rRNA from 1 species